UCUUCCAUCUUCAAAGUUGACACUUAAAAAGUUCUUCAAAAUCUUUCCUCUUUUUGUGCAGCUUGUCUCUCCUCUCCUCUCCUCUCGUCUCCCAACCGAAGAACUUUUAAACGUGCAUUAUUACACUCUUCGGCAAUCUGGAAAAAAUGGCGCUGGUCUCAGCUAGCCGUUUCCGCUCUGCUCUCCUCCACCAACUACUCCAGUUCUCCUCUGCAUCCACAUUCGCAGCUGGUGGUCACGCCUUCGACCCGGAGAUUCGACGGCUGGCCAAAUUCCAGCGUUUCACCGACAUCGAAGCCCUUCUUGAACCCCGCAAGUUAAAUCUUCCGUCCGACUCUUCAUCCCGCGAACCCUACCUCGCCUCCUUCAUCAUUGCUUACGCAUCCGCUGGCAUGCUGGACCACGCCGUCCGCACCCUUGACGAGCUCCCUCGCCUUGGCUCCUCUCGUACCAUUCUCUCUUUAAAUGCCCUUCUCUCCGCUUGCAACCACUCUAAAACCCUUUCCACCCGUGUCCCUGACCUCUUCUCUAACCUAUCCCGCUACCACUCUCUCUCCCCUGACAAGAUCUCCUAUGGCAUCCUUAUCAAAUCUCUUUGCCUUGCCCGUGACUCCUCUAAAGCCCUUUCUGUCCUCAAAGAGAUGGAUAACAAAAGGAUAGAGAUCACCGCAAUAUCCUACACAACCAUUAUGGAUUCCCUAUACAAGGAAGGGAAGCCUGAGGAGGCCGACCGACUCUGGAAGGAGAUGCGCGCCAAAGGAGUUGCACCAGACGUGGCUGCCUAUAAUGUUAGGGCCAUGUACUGGGCGGUAAAUGGGGGCCCGGAUGAUGUGCUUAGGCUGAUCGAAGAGAUGAAGGCUGAUGGGAUGGAACCUGAUAUAUUCACUUAUAAUUACUUGAUGACUUGCUAUUGCAAACAUGGGCGGGUAGAUAAUGCGAAGAGGGUAUACAGGGAGCUUGGACAGAAGGGAUGUGAGCCCAAUGCGGCCACUUAUAAAAAUUUGCUUUAUUCCCUUUGCAAGAAUAAUGAUUUUGUGGGCGGACUUGAGGUUUUUGAGGAUUGUGUAAAGCACAGGAGGGUUCCGGAUCUUGGUUCCGUGAUGGCCCUGGUGAAGGGGUUGAUGAAGGAUUCCAAGAUCAGGGCGGCAAAGAGGGUGGUUACCGGCCUGAGAAAGAAGUUCCCUGAAGAAUUUUCAGGUAGUUGGAUGAAGCUGGAGAAUGUAGUUGGGUUGAGCAAUGAUGAAAAGUUAUUGCCUGUAGGUACCCAUCUCAAUUGUUAGCAAUGGAUCCUGCUGUCAGCAUAGAUUGCAGACUAGCUAUUAUGGUGACACUCAAGCGUACACGCCGUUUAAGGUUUUCAAGGGACUAUAGGUGUUGUUGCUGCGUACGGUUUUUUGCGGGGUUUUUUAACUUUUAUGGGAUUGCCCAGGUUCAUCUUUUUUUAUGUAUAUGUAAUGUGAUAAUGUGAUUUUUUUAAAGUUUUGAUUUUUGGGUAAGGUUUAAAGUCUAAACUUGAAGGUUAUUUUGAAUCAGAUUAGGCUGAUCUUAUGCCAGCUAUAUCUACUAACCUAGAUAUAUAGAGAUCUUUUGCCAACCAUAUCUACUAACCUAGGCAUAAGGAACCUAUAAAUAGAUAUUCUAAGGCAAAUAAUAUGCUAUCUUUGAUUUGAUAUUACUUUUUUUUUCGAAUUCUUAGUCUUAUGUAUGUAAGUUGGAUGUGCGGUUUAUUCGAGUAUGUGCGACACAAAUGUGGCUACCUAAUUCUAAAGGAAGUGAUCCCGUUUCAUAAGUGUGAGAGUUGAAUUUCUUUUAUUAUGGAAUUGAUUUCUUGAACUACUUGUUAUUUGCUUGUUAAUGCCAGUGAUAUAUUUCAAAUUUGUAACUACCAAAAAUUUAUUUAUGGUUAUUUAUUUGUUCAUUGCAUUAUCACUUGAGUUCUAAUUCUUAUAUAUACUAUUUGUACUUAAAGGAUGCAGGCUAUUGCUUUAGUGGUUUGUUAUAUUUGAAUUCUUAAUUUCAUGUUCAUGAUUUACAUAUAUUGCAUUAUCAUAUUGGAGACCCUGACCUUGAACCAUCUUGUAUCAACUUACGGGCAUCUUCUCUAACAAAUGGGGAUAACUUCAUAUUCUUCUUCCUCUUCUUUUUCUUCUUCUUCUUCUUCUAUGGCUGCUGCUAUUGCUAUUGCUUUGGAGAGUUGUGGAUUGCUUUGUUUGUGGAUGACAAAUGAGGGAUAUUGGCCUAGUUUUUUUGUGUUUUUUAAAUACUUAAGUUUCCUUUCAUGAUUUACCUAUAUUUCAUCAUAAUAAUUGCAUUAAGAAACCAUAAUAUUUAACCAUCUUAAACUCACCUUCUUGUUGGAGGGUUGUAGAUAAUUGUGCUUGUAGUGAAAAAUGGGGUAAGAUGGGAUGGAAGCUAGGGAUGAGGAUGGAGGGCUAAGUGGGUGAAUGGAAAUAGUAAAUGGGAAUGCUAAUAUUGGAGUUGGGGUUAUACCUACAAGAGCAAAAAGUGAGAGGAGUGGGGAGAUGAGAACAAGGAAAGUCUUGAUAGGAAACACUUGUAGAUCUCAAGUAUUUCCUAUCAAUCUUCGGAAAACAGUGAGAAUUCUUCUCAAAAAUCCGCACAAAAUCACAAAAACAGUAGAUAAUU